UGAGGAAUUUUCCGCAAUGGGCGAAAGCCUGACGGAGCAAUACCGCGUGGAGGAGGAAGGCCCGUGGGUCGUAAACUCCUUUUCUCAGAGAAGAACACAAUGACGGUAUCUGAGGAAUAAGCAUCGGCUAACUCCGUGCCAGCAGCCGCGGUAAUACGGAGGAUGCAAGCGUUAUCCGGACUGAUUGGGUGUAAAGCAUCUGUAGGCGGUUUUGGAAGUCUACGGUUAAAUCCCAGAGCUUAACUUUGGUUCAGCCGUAGAGUACUUCAAAGCUUGAGUAUGGUAGGGGUAGAGGGAACUUCUCGUGGAGCGGUGAAAUGCACAGAGAUGAGAAGGAACACCAGUGGCGAAAGCGCUCUACUGGGCCAUGACUGACGCUGAGAGAUGACAGCUGAGGGAG
rnacentral:rRNA from 1 species